AUUAAUCCAAACAUACCUCUAUAUACACUGAAUUAAUAAUAAAUUAUAAAUGUGGUCAGCCUUCUGCAACAUAUAUUUUUCGGAUUUUCUAGACUAUUUUAAGUCGUAAAGUGAGCAGGGUAUAUUAAAAUGUAGCGCAUGGCUUUCGGCAGGCAUGUAUUCAUGAUACUAAGUGGGGCAGACGGUCUCGCCCUAUCUAGCUCUACAGCGCCCCACAAGUUUCCAAUGUAAAUCUGUGGUGAAAAAUGGAACUGCAGCGCACUCUCAUUUGGGGCAUAUUCCCCGCUUAAUUUUACUUUAGGUAAACCCCGUGAACCUCACUCCAUUUCAGGACGAUAUCAGUCCGCUUCAGAUGUGUGUUUGCAUCAGGUUGUUGAUGAUCUGCUCGGAGGAAAGGUGUACUCACUCCCACCUCAAGUCACCUCAAGAACAUCCCCAUCAACCACAUAUAUUUUAAGUGGUGUGUUUGAUCCCAGUGCAAAAUACAUGCCAGUGGGGAACUGGCAGAACACAGUCUACAUUCGCUGGAUCGCGUACCGCCACACAAAUGCAAAGGGGCUUAGUUUUGAAGGAGCAGUUGUCCAAAAAAUUCAGGAGAAAUGUAAGUGGAAAUGGCUGAAGGUGAAGCAACUGGUCGAGAUCCUUUCUGGAGUCUUUUUGGCCAAACCCAUGCAAACCCUCUUAAAUCAUCAAAACACAGGACCUUUAAACCUGAACAGCUUAGAGAAAAUUCCACACAGCUUUUCUGAAGCGGAAAAGAUAGAGGACUACCAAGACACUGCGAUGCCAUGUGUGACGGCAACACCAAUGCAAAUCAAGGAAGCAAAACAUGACUUUACCCAAAAUACAAAAAACACCAAACCCCCCCUAACAACAGAUAUGAUUACAGACCUGUGCUCUGCACUCAUUCAUCGUACUAGCACCGGUUUGAAGAGAUGCCUUGAAAAGAUGAUGUUAGGCAAAGUAAACUACACCACCCCUUCACCGCUCUUGAAUUUGUCUGUCACUAGCAAACCACGCAAUGCCAGGUCGGACCACCAUUCUCAGAGCCCUCUUCAACUAUAUGAAAUCAUUAAUCACAGAAAAUAUACCACACAAAAGCCACAAAACGGUGUUGAAGUCAGUGACGAGGAGAAUGAUCAUUUUUACUAUUUCAAUGGCAAGAUUAAACGUACAAUGAACCACUUUAGACCUGCAGUAUGAAAUAAAUAACAUGUAUGAAAAAGCACAGAGAUUUGUAUCCAGAGACAUCAUAUCAUACAUCAUCUAUCAGAGGCCAAAAAUGUUAUGGACAAUUUUACCAAAAGGAAACUUGAUGAAUUCAGAUGACUUUAUUGUGCUGUUCAUAUAUGUAUUUAUUUAUUUAUAGCAAAUUAUUCUUUUGAAAAGUCAGAGGGGCCCAAUCAUUUAUAUCAUAGCCAUCUAAUAACGUCAAAAAUCAUGUUCUUAAUCUUUUUUUUACCCUGUUUGUAAAUAUAUACACACAAUAUCCUUAAAAAAAACCCAAUAAAUUUACUUGAAGCAACAUUG